rnacentral:rRNA from 1 species
CCCUGCCAUUUGUACACACCGCCCGUCGCACCUACCGAUUGAAUGAUUCGGUGAAAAUUUCGGACUACAGCAUUAACACUUUCGGGUGAUUAUGCCGUGGGAAGUUAUUUAAACCUCAUCAUUUAGAGGAAGGU